AUUGAACGCCGGCGGCAUGCCUUACACAUGCAAGUCGAACGGCAGCACGGGGGCAACCCUGGUGGCGAGUGGCGAACGGGUGAGUAAUGCAUCGGAACGUGCCUAGUAGUGGGGGACAACCAGUCGAAAGAUUGGCUAAUACCGCAUACGACCUACGGGUGAAAGCGGGGGACCGUAAGGCCUCGCGGUAUUAGAGCGGCCGAUGUCUGAUUAGCUAGUUGGUGAGGUAAAAGCUCACAAAGGCGACGAUCAGUAGCUGGGCUGAGAGGACGACCAGCCACACUGGGACUGAGACACGGCCCAGACUCAUACGGGAGGCAGCAGUGGGGAAUUUUGGACAAUGGGCGCAAGCCUGAUCCAGCCAUGCCGCGUGCGGGAAGAAGGCCUUCGGGUUGUAAACCGCUUUUGGCAGGAACGAAACGGCGCGGGCUAAUACCCAGCGUUAAUGACGGUACCUGCAGAAUAAGCACCGGCUAACUACGUGCCAGCCGCCGCGGUAAAAC
rnacentral:rRNA from 1 species